rnacentral:ncRNA from 1 species
UUUUUUGAGAGUUUGAUCCUGGCUCAGGAUGAACGCUGGCGGCGUGCCUUAAGCAUGCAAGUCGAACGGAGAUUGUGCAUAGCACUAAGAUAAUUAGUGUUUUGUUGUUUCCCUUGAUUUGUUAUGCGCGAGAGCACUGACCAAAGUCAGUUAUUUUUUGGCGUAUAACAAACGAGUGGAGCAACGAUUAAUUAUUUUUGUGCUAUGCACGAAAUCAGUGGCGGACGGGUGAGUAUAAGCAAGGAACGUACCCCUUAUUGUGACAUAGCUCGUCGAAAGACGGGGUAAUAUCACAUGACCCUUUACGGGGAAAGCGCUUAACCGCGCGAUAAGGGAGCGGCCUUGUCACUAUCAGCUAGUUGGUAGGGUAAUGGCCUACCAAGGCGAUGACGGUUAGGGGGCGUGAGAGCGCGACCCCCCACAAUGGCACUGAGACACGGGCCAUACAUCUACGGAUGGCAGCAACUGGGAAUCGUUGGCAAUGGACGAAAGUCUGACCACGCGACGCCGCGUGAGGGAUGAAGGCUCUCGGGUCGUAAACCUCUUUUGCCGGGGCAUGAAGCCCCGGAGAAUAAGCACCUACAAACUACGUGCCAGCAGUCGCGGUAAUACGUAGGGUGCAAGCGUUAUCCGGAUUCACUGGGCGUAAAGGGUCGUGUAGGUGGUUUGCCGCAUCGUGCCUGAAAGCCCGAGGCUUAACCUCGGCGUUGGGUACGAGAUGGGUAAACUAGAGGGUGAGAGAGGCAAGGGGAACUGACGGUGAAGCAGUGAAAUGCGUUGAUAUCGUCAGGAACACCAAAGGCGAAGGCACCUUGCUGGCUCACUUCUGACACUCAGACACGAAAGCUAGGGGAGCGAAGCAGAUUAGAGACCUGCGUAGUCCUAGCCCUAAACGCAUGCCUGCUAGUUGCUCCGAGCAAUCGGAGUGACGUAA